UGCUACAGUCCAUAGGGUUGCAAAGAGUUGGACACGACUGAAGUGACUUAGCACACACAGCGUACCUGAAGGUGAAACUCUUUUAAUGCUACUCAGAGGUACGGAAACUGAGGCACAGAGAAAUUAAGGUGCAAAGAAGGCAUAUCUCCACCCCAACUCAUUUAGAAUGGAUUAAAAAAUUCUUCACGAAGCAUGCUCACUUUCUGGAAAAUUCAGGUUUUAAUUUUCUACCUCUCUUCUGCACCCAGUGGUUGAACAUACAACAUCCUCAACAAUGCAGAAGACUAUCAAUUUCACUGCACCCUUGCUAGCAUUGGGCAUUAUUGUUAUUACUAGUAAAGUUAUUAGAGGAAAUAAGGACAAUUAUGAAGUCUUCAGUGAGGAUCUGUCUCCAAUCUCCUUCCAAUCCAUUUUUCAUUAAGGAACUAGUCAUCUGUUUGGAAAAAAAUAAAAGAGAAAAGAAAAUAUACCAACCAAACUAGGUCAUGUUAUCCUCAGGCUCAGGAGCCUUCAAAAGUCUCCCCUGCUUAACAUCAAGACAAACACCCACCAUGGCCUGCAGGAGCCAGGCAGUGUGGCCUGUCUACCCUUCCAGUCUCUUUUGCCCAAAUUAUGUCAUGUCCCUUCACUCAUUAAUUCCAUCCAUUUUGGGUUUCUUGAAUUUUCUAUGUUCCCUCCUGCCUUGAGGGUUUUGCCUAAUCUUCUCUUUCUGCUUGGGGUCCUUUCCUUACUCCCUUUCUUUUCUUUCUUCUUGGAUGAAAUUCACUUCCUUGGAGAGCCUUUCCCUAUUCAUUUCACCUGAAGUUAAACCUCUCAGUCUUUUUCUGGCUCAGCUAAUUGUCCGUUACAAUGUGCAGAUGCUUUUUUUCAUUUGUUUAUUUGUGUUUUCCCCACCACUCCUAUUAAACUGUGAACUGUAAACUC